UACGAAGGGGGCUAGCGUUGCUCGGAAUCACUGGGCGUAAAGCGCACGUAGGCGGAUUCCUAAGUCGGGGGUGAAAUCCUGGAGCUCAACUCCAGAACUGCCUUCGAUACUGGGAAUCUUGAGUCCGGGAGAGGUGAGUGGAACUGCGAGUGUAGAGGUGAAAUUCGUAGAUAUUCGCAAGAACACCAGUGGCGAAGGCGGCUCACUGGCCCGGUACUGACGCUGAGGUGCGAAAGCGUGGGGAGCAAACAGGG
rnacentral:rRNA from 1 species